rnacentral:rRNA from 1 species
CCUACGGGAGGCAGCAGUGGGGAAUAUUGGGCAAUGGGCGCAAGCCUGACCCAGCAAUGCCGCGUGAAGGAAGACGGCUUUCGGGUUGUAAACCUCUUUGACUGGGGAAGAGCAGAAGACGGUACCCUGAAAACAAGCCACGGCUAAAUACGUGCCAGCAGCCGCGGUACUACGUAGGUGGCAAGCGUUGUCCGGAUUUUCUGGGUGUAAAGGGCUUGUAGCCGGGAAGGCAAGUCAGAUGUGAAAUCUGGAGGCUCAACCUCCAAACUGCAUUUGAAACUGUUUUUCUUGAGUACAGGUGAGGCAGACGGAAUUCCUUGUGUAGCGGUGAAAUGCGUAGAUAUAAGGAGGAACACCAGUGGCGAAGGCGGUCUGCUGGACAGCAACUGACGGUGAGGCGCGAAAGCGUGGGGAGCAAACAGGAUUAGAUACCCGUGUAGUG